UACGUAGGGGGAGAGCGUUGUCCGGAUUUACUGGGUGUAAAGGGUGCUCAGGCGGGUCUGUAAGUCAGGGGUGAAAUCCCAGAGCUUAACUCUGGAACUGCCUUUGAUACUGCAGAUCUCGAGUUUGGGAGAGGCGAGUGGAAUAUCUGGUGUAGCAGUGAAAUGCGUAGAUAUCAGAUAGAACACCAAUGGCGAAGGCAGCUCGCUGGCCCAAUCCUGACGGUAAAGCACGAAAGCGUGGGGAGCAAACAGG
rnacentral:rRNA from 1 species